rnacentral:sRNA from 1 species
GUUUUCUCUUCUUUAUC